GCAGAAGUGAACCGGGGGGUGCCUGGAAGAGGGAGGAAGGACCUCAGCUUGAAGCGCCUUUUGUUCAGUCUGGUUAUUGAGCGCUCGCAGAGUCCCAGGGUGUGCCUGCGCGAAAGGGGGACACCGGCUCAGGCUGGCGGCUCCCGGGGCAGCUGAGGGACCAUGACUAGGAACGUUGAGGGUCUCAGGGCUGCAGGGGAAGAAUCGUGACUGUCCAUACAUUGUUCAAAGCCAACCGGUUUCCUUCAUCAGCCGCUGCUGUCGGAUUCCCUAAGUCACCUCCUCUACACCACCUCUCUCAAAGAAGUAGAGACCAGAUAGAAUUUGAAUGGAAGGCCGCCCGAUGUUACCUGCUUCCAUAGGCUUUUGGCAUCCCUAUUCUUCCCAGUGCAGUCAGCCAACUCUCUCUGCUGUAUCCUAGAGCACCUGGAGGUUAAUGAUCAGUGCUGGAGUGGGACACACAGGAUAAAAGCAAGUAUCGGAGGUACCACCUAUAGGAUGCAGUGAGAAAGACAGCAUCACUUCUGCAAUAUUCCUGCACAUGACGAAGAACCUGAAUCUAAUCACAAGGAAACACUGAAUGAGCCCAAGUUAAGGGACAUUCUAGGAAGUAACUGGCUCAUAAUCUAUAAAAGUGCAAUUGAAGUUAAGAACAGAUUAAAGAACUGUUCCAGAUUUUAAAAGACCAGAAAUAACAGAACUAAAUGUGAUAGGUGAUUCUGUAUCUGAUCGUUUUGCCAUAAAAACAUUAUUAGGCACACUGGUGAAACUUGAAUAGAGUCUGUGCUAUGGAUUAGCUGCCAGUAAUCUACCAGUGUUAAUUUCCUGAUUUUGAUUGU